rnacentral:misc_RNA from 1 species
AAACCCUCAACUCCAAGUUUGGUUAAUCCAAGUUUGGGUGUUGGACUUGGGCGUUUGUCAAUGAUGAAUUGACUCGCCUUAAAAAGCUGAGCUGGAUUAGUCUUUGUACUGGUUUCCCUAGGCGUAAUAAGUAUUUCGCUUAGGACACAAGUUCGCUUGUGGCCAGGACUCGGACAGCAAUCUGCUUUCUAUACCCCAUAUGUACUUGUGCAUAUAAUCUCUGAC